rnacentral:lncRNA from 1 species
AUGGAUUUUAUUACCACAGAAAAGCCAGACUUCACACCCGAAUGCCAGGCUCUGCCAGAGAAAAGGGGUUCGGGAGGAGCAGACACUGAAAAAAAAUCACAGGCUGUGAAGCAGCUGGGAAGAGACGGAGUGAAAGUCUUUGGAAGAAAAUAAGCCCUGAAUGUGGAAUGUCCAUGAAAGAGAAACUUGUUAAAAUUCUAUGAAAAGAAGCUUUGGAAAAGACAAAAGAAUUGCUAAGAGAGCCACAAAGGCAACCGCUUGAAAGAAACAAAUUCUACUAGAAUCUCCACUACGACUUUUAUGGUUACGGAGGUAAGGCAGUGAGCUGCUGUGGCUCUUGUUUUCUUCUCCAUCAGGAAAACUGGAAGGAAAACGUCCCCAUGUUCACGUAACAAAAUAUCAGGAAAAUAACCAAGGUGACUAUUUAGGAACCUUGCUCGAGAUCUGUCAAUAGUAAGUAAAAAACAGACUUAAGGUCUGAUAGAGGCAUCAGAGGAUUCCUCUGGAGCUUUCUUCAGUUGGGCACAGGGGAGCAUUUUUAGGAGAGAUUUCAGUGAAGGUAAUUCUGGCCGUGGGGCCCAGCUGUCAGCGUUGAUGGGUUAGAGGUCGGAUGGGAAGACUGCCGCCUGGAACCACAGCCGGGUUCAAUAGGC